UACGUAGGGGGCGAGCGUUGUCCGGAUUCAUUGGGCGUAAAGAGCUCGUAGGCGGCUUGGCAAGUCGGGUGUGAAACCUCCAGGCUCAACCUGGAGACGCCACCCGAUACUGCUAUGGCUAGAGUCCGGUAGGGGACCACGGAAUUCCUGGUGUAGCGGUGAAAUGCGCAGAUAUCAGGAGGAACACCGGUGGCGAAGGCAAUCCCCUGGGCCUGCACUGACGCUCAUGCACGAAAGCGUGGGGAGCAAACAGG
rnacentral:rRNA from 1 species